GUCUUUUUGUUAAAAAUUUAAAGUCGGGCCUGCCCACUGAAAUUUUAAAUGGCCGUGGUAUUUUGACCAUGCUAAGGUAGCAUAAUCAUUAGUUUUUUAAUUGAAAGCUGGAAUGAAAGGUUUGAUAAAAAAAUGACUGUCUCUAUUUAAUUUUAUUAAAACUUUAUUUUUAAGUUCAAAAGCUUAAUUUUAAUUAAAAGACGAGAAGACCCUAUAGAGUUUAAUAAUUUAAUAUAAUUUGUAUUUUAGAAUUAAUUUAUAAAUUUUCUAUAUUAUUUAAUUGGGGUGAUUGAAAAAUUUAAUUAACUUUUUUUAUAUUUAACCAUUAAUUUAUGAUAAUUUGAUCCAAUUUUUUUGAUUAUAAGAUAAAAUUACCUUAGGGAUAACAGCGUAAUUUUUUUAGAAAGUUCAAAUUAAAAGAAAAGAUUGCGACCUCGAUGUUGGAUUAAAAUUAAAUUUUGGUGUAGAAGCUAAAAAUUUUAAGUCUGUUCGACUUUUAAAAUUUUACA
rnacentral:rRNA from 1 species